CAGAGAAUAGUUUAUUUAAAAUGUUAAUUUUGGGGAUUAAUGAAAAGGUUUAAACCUUUUCUCUGA
rnacentral:tRNA from 1 species